GACGACAUAGCCAAGUGGUAAGGCAAAGGACUGCAAAUCCUCUCACAAAACCUAGGUAUUGAACACAUGUUUCGUUA
rnacentral:tRNA from 1 species